rnacentral:rRNA from 1 species
UGGGGAAUAUUGCGCAAUGGACGAAAGUCUGACGCAGCGACGCCGCGUGUGGGAUGACGGUCUUCGGAUUGUAAACCACUGUCGGGAGGGACGAAUACGCCGCAAGGCGGGUGACGGUACCUCCAAAGGAAGCACCGGCUAACUCCGUGCCAGCAGCCGCGGUAAUACGGAGGGUGCGAGCGUUGUCCGGAAUCACUGGGCGUAAAGGGCGCGUAGGCGGCCUGAUAAGUAGGGGGUGAAAUCCUGCGGCUUAACCGCAGGGCUGCCUUCUAAACUGUCAGGCUUGAGCACAGUAGAGGCAGGUGGAAUUCCCGGUGUAGCGGUGGAAUGCGUAGAGAUCGGGAAGAACAUCAGUGGCGAAGGCGGCCUGCUGGGCUGUUGCUGACGCUGAGGCGCGACAGCGUGGGGAGCAAACAGGAUUAGAUACCCCCGUAGUCC